AGUGAACGCUGGCGGUAGGCCUAACACAUGCAAGUCGAACGGCAGCACAGUAAGAGCUUGCUCUUACGGGUAGCGAGUGGCGGACGGGUGAGGAAUACAUCGGAAUCUACUUUUUCGUGGGGGAUAACGUAGGGAAACUUACGCUAAUACCGCAUACGACCUACGGGUGAAAGCAGGGGAUCUUCGGACCUUGCGCGAGUGAAUGAGCCGAUGUCGGAUUAGCUAGUUGGCGGGGGAAAGGCCCACCAAGGCGACGAUCCGUAGCUGGUCUGAGAGGAUGAUCGGCCACACUGGAACUGAGACACGCUCCAGACUCCUACGGGAGGCAGCAGUGGGGAAUAUUGGACAAUGGGCGCAAGCCUGAUCCAGCCAUACCGCGUGGGUGAAGAAGGCCUUCGGGUUGUAAAGCCCUUUUGUUGGGAAAGAAAAGCAGCAGGUUAAUACCCCGCUGUUCUGACGGUACCCAAAGAAUAAGCACCGGCUAACUUCGUG
rnacentral:rRNA from 1 species